rnacentral:rRNA from 1 species
UACGUAGGGUGCAAGCGUUGUCCGGAAUUAUUGGGCGUAAAGAGCUCGUAGGCGGUCUGUCGCGUCGGCUGUGAAAACCCGGGGCUCAACCCCGGGCCUGCAGUCGAUACGGGCAGACUAGAGUGCGGUAGGGGAGACUGGAAUUCCUGGUGUAGCGGUGAAAUGCGCAGAUAUCAGGAGGAACACCUGUGGCGAAGGCGGCCCCCUGGGCCGGCCCUGACACUGAGACGCGAAGGCGUGGGGAGCGAACGGG